rnacentral:rRNA from 1 species
UACGUAGGGUACGAGCGUUGUCCGGAAUUAUUGGGCGUAAAGAGCUCGUAGGUGGUUGGUCACGUCUGCUGUGGAAACGCAACGCUUAACGUUGCGCGUGCAGUGGGUACGGGCUGACUAGAGUGCAGUAGGGGAGUCUGGAAUUCCUGGUGUAGCGGUGAAAUGCGCAGAUAUCAGGAGGAACACCGGUGGCGAAGGCGGCGCUCUGGCCUGUAACUGACGCUGAGGCGCGAAAGCGUGGGGAGCAAACAGG